CCGCCCGGCGCGGGGCGCGGAGCGCUGCCGAGGGUCUGCGCUCGGCGCGGCGCUCCGCCCGCGGUCCGCCCGCCCUCCCGGCCGCGGCUCCGGCUUCGGCUCCCGCACGGAGGCUCCCGGGGCGCGCCGCUCUAACGUGAAUCCGCGGCGGGAGCCGCUGGGCUGCGGGCUGCUCCCUUUGAAACGGCGGCUCCCGCUGUCGGCGUGCGCGUGGCGGCGGGGCACGGCCGCACACACCGAGCGCUGCCCGCGGCCCCUCCGCGCCUCCGGCUGCGGGCUCACGGCGGAGCGCGACCCACGGCCACGCACGCACACGCCGUCGGCCUCAGUUCGAGAGCGGCGAUAGAUGGGUGGCCUCGUGCCGAGGCACCGCGCGGCGCUAGCCCGGCCAGAUGCUUCCUCCCGUCCGACAGCGGUGCCGCCGAGGCAUCGGCUGCGGCGCAAGGCUCUCCCGAGCCAGGUGUGAGCGAGGCAAAGCCCCAUUGAAGACAAUGACAGUAGUUCUGUGCUGCAUGGGGAGUUAAACACCGAGCACUGCAGCAGCGUUCGUUUGGAGCAGUGUGUUUCUUAGAGCCGGGGAGGUCUGAGUGGAGAUCAAAAUGGAAGUAAUUUCUCAUUUUCAAGUUGCAAAUUAUUUGUGUGAAUGAAGAAAAUAUGGCUUCACCUUGUCAUCCUAGAUGAUAGGGGACAUUAUCUGCAUUACAGAAAGGAUCUCAGAAACGUACAGAUUAAGAUUGCCCUGCACAGAUUGGUUGCAGACUGUUCUACCAUGCCCAGACCUACGUGAUGUGCUAUUUAAAUACAUGACCUUGGGCUGAAAAUCUGCCCUCUGUGUACCGAGAGAGCAGCACAGAGGGAUGCGGACAUGCAGAGAACCGCUCUGUGCCCUGAGCCCCCAAAGGCAUCACACAGAGCCACAGAUCAGACAGCUCUGCUUCCACCCAGUUUAAAGGAGUCUGGAGAGCAGACACCUGGGGCAUCUGGGGAUCCCAUUCUGCCAGCUCCUCCCGGUGGUGAAAAAGAAGUAAAGCACAACGCAGCUGGCUGUUAUCUUGACGUUUUGCUCCGGGGAGAACUUAAUCAACUUUGCUUUCCUGGCGGUACCUCAACCACCUGAGCAGCCCCUUCACCUGCCAGCUCCGAGCACGGCCUCAGACCAGCAAACACGGGAUGCUCGAGAUGUAAUCUAAUUAAAAACACUGGUGAUGGAUGGGUGGCUGAAGAUGUCCCCAACCUUAGCAUCCUUUGCCUCCAUUUGGCUACCGCGUUUGGCAGCUCAGCAACAAAAACAAACCCUUCCUCCAGGCUGAUGGCUUUCAUGGUCAAAAGCUGAAAGAGCAUCUACCACCUCCUGCACGGGACUGUAGAGCACAGUCCACAAAGGAGUGUGCAGCUCAGCUCCACACACAGGCAGUGAUUUCAGGUCCCAGAGGCCAAAGUGAACCCUGCACAGGGGAACGCUGCAAUUAGCAUUGAAAAGCCUCUUAGAUACGAUGGCUUCUAACGCAUUUCACAGUAAAUUUAGAAAUCACUCUGCUUUGAAACCACCAGCAGCCUCAUCCACAGUGCAGCUAAGAGGAAAGCACUGUCUGCUUUGCCUUGAUCCAUCUCUAACCUGGCUUCUGAAUUUCUAAGGAUUAAUGCCAUCUAGUUCUCAUAAAAGCGACCUCAGAGUAGAGUUAUAAGUUUACAAGAGGGAAAUUCAUUUCCUUACAGAGAUUGUAAAAGAUUCCUAUUAGCUCAAGAUGUCAUACUUGCAAAUGUAUUAUCCCACUGUUGAGGAGAGGGAAGCAGUGACUCUGCAACUCCCUGAGAGGAGGCUGUGAACUGCAGUAGGACGUGCUGGCCUCAAGUUGUACCAGGGGAGGUUCACCUGGGUAUUAAGAAACAAUUCUUCUUCAGAAAGGCAGUAAUGCAUUGGCCCAGGCUGCCCAGGGAGGUGGGGAAGUCACCAUCUCUGGAGGUGUUCCAAAGCUGUGGAGGUGUGGCACUGAGGGACAAGAUCAGUGGCAUGGUGGGCAUGGGCUGAUGAUGACUAAAUGAUCUUAGAUGAUGACUAAAUGAUCUUAGAAGUCUGUUCCAACCUGAAUGACUUAAAGAGUCUAUGAGCCCAACAGACUUCCUGUCACUUUAAGGGCCCAAAAUAAAGACCAAGGCUUGAACUCCUCAUGCUGAGAGUGAGCAGAGGCAGUAAGGGGCGAAAAAUGCCGAGCUGAGGACAGUGCUGAAAUCAGGAGGGGCACAAAGCCUCCUGGUAGAGCUUCUCAUUUACUUGCAGGGAUCAGUGGCUGAACACAUCGGAGAGAACUUUUAAAUUUGUUUGCAAGACAAUGAAAACA
ensembl:lncRNA